UACGUAGGGUGCAAGCGUUGUCCGGAUUCAUUGGGCGUAAAGAGCGUGUAGGCGGCCAGGUAGGUCGGUUGUGAAAACUGGAGGCUCAACCUUCAGAGGUCGACCGAAACCAUCUGGCUAGAGUCCGGGAGAGGAGAGUGGAAUCCUGGUGUAGCGGUGAAAUGCGCAGAUAUCAGGAAGAACACCCGUGGCGAAAGCGGCUCUCUGGAACGGUACUGACGCUGAGACGCGAAAGCGUGGGGAGCGAACAGGAUUAGA
rnacentral:rRNA from 1 species